CUUUUGUCGAGAGCGAAGACGAGGCGGAUGGAACGCUCCGGGGAGCGGCCUUCGAACCCUCGGUCUCGCGUGUUUCAGUUGGCCGAAGGAUGGCGGAGGCUGCCCGGCCGCUCCGUCUAGGAAAACACGCGGCUUCGGGGCCUACUUCCGGAUCUGAGUCGGAAGGCACCUAGAGCAGCCUUGGGGAUCGGAGCUGCUGAGUCAUGACUUUGGAAUUUAGAAAUAUCAGCACUUGUGGUCAGCUCAGCUGGUAAAAGGGGGACUGUUUGCACUGUGCAACCUGCCAGGAAUUGUCUCUUAAAACUGGAAAAACCACAAAAGAUUUGUGGCGCAUUAAUGUUCUUUCUCAAGGCCUGUAUAGGCUGGUGCGCCAGCUCUCAAGCAGUGGAAGAUGGGGGGACCCCUGCUUUGCAGGGGGCUCCGAGGGGAUCCUUCAGGCAGAGAGCUGAAGCGCUUCGCUGCGGCAGAAGCUGGGAAGUCCUUGGUUCAGUUCCUGUUGCCAGUGCCCUUAGACUAGAGCUGGAAUGCCUCAGGCCUGGGGGCCACAUCCUGCCCUCCUGGGGUUCAUGGUAAGCCACACAGUGCUUCCCCAACCACCAGCCGCUCAGUGGUUUUUGAGCAGUUUUUUCUUCCUCCAUUCUAAAAGGUGGAGGUGGAGGGAGGAAUAGUUACCGGCAUAGAUGUGUGUGCUGACAUUUUUAAAUAAUUUGGCCUCGCCCCUUCGGCCCACCUACUGCUGGGAUAUCACUCCUGAGAACCGGUCUGAAAUUGUGUUUGGCGCUCGGGCCAGAAGAGCUGCUGCACUCCGGCUCUGUCACGCCACAGGGGUAGCACUGGCCCGCCUCGCAGGACGAACGUAAGGAUCACCGAGGAGUACUCCGAGCACCUUUUGGAUACAGAGUUCUGAAGGGGCUACAAGGGGGACGCCGUGCAUGUCACAGCUGAAGAAAUCCCUCUGUUUUAAGGGCCUAGAACAAGAGAACUUGUACUCUGGGGAGGAAGGAGGUUUGUUGUGAAUAUGCAGAUCUCUGAUGUGGGGCUGUUGCUGGCUGGUUGGCUCCUUGGAGACCAGACCUUGUCCUUGGAGUACUUUUAACCAACUCUGUCCAGCCCUGGGACUCCUGGCCCAUCACUGGGAUUGAUUUUCUCGGGCCUCAGGCUCUGGACUCUCUUGGCAGGAAUAACAAGAGAUUAUCUAACUGGAGAGCAGUUUAUUUACUUUAGAUGUUGCCAUGAAAGCAGAUUAAAAUGGUCAUUUGAAUAAAAAGGUCAUCCAGAAGGAUAACUGGAUAGCACCUGGCAACCUUCAGGA